AGUGAACGCUGGCGGUAGGCCUAACACAUGCAAGUCGAACGGCAGCACAGUAAGAGCUUGCUCUUACGGGUGGCGAGUGGCGGACGGGUGAGGAAUACAUCGGAAUCUACUUUUUCGUGGGGGAUAACGUAGGGAAACUUACGCUAAUACCGCAUACGACCUACGGGUGAAAGCAGGGGAUCUUCGGACCUUGCGCGAUUGAAUGAGCCGAUGUCGGAUUAGCUAGUUGGCGGGGUAAAUGCCCACCAAGGCGACGAUCCGUAGCUGGUCUGAGAGGAUGAUCAGCCACACUGGAACUGGGACACGGUCCAGACUCCUACGGGAGGCAGCAGUGGGGAAUGUUGGACAAUGGGCGCAAGCCUGAUCCAGCCAUACCGCGUGGGUGAAGAAGACCUUCGGGUUGUAAAGCCCUUUUGUUGGGAAAGAAAAGCAGCAGGUUAAUACCCCGCUGUUCUGACGGUACCCGAAGAAUAAGCACCGGCUAACUUCGUG
rnacentral:rRNA from 1 species